AUCGCUUCUCGGCCUUUUGGCUAAGAUCAAGUGUAGUAUCUGUUCUUAUCAGUUAUACUACUAUAUUGAGUUUGGCGCCUCGGGCGCCAAACUCAAUAGAAACAAGUCCGAGGCCCAGCUCUU
ensembl:snRNA U2 U2 spliceosomal RNA